CCUACGGGAGACAGCAGUGGGGAAUAUUGGGCAAUGGAGGCAACUCUGACCCAGCAAUGCCGCGUGAAUGAAGAAGGUUUUCGGAUUGUAAAGUUCUUUAAUCAGGGACGAAGAAGAUGACGGUACCUGAGGAAUAAGCCACGGCAAACUAUGUGCCAGCAGCCGCGGUAAUACAUAGGUGGCAAGCGUUGUCCGGAAUGACUGGGCGUAAAGGGUGCGCAGGCGGAAGCGGCAAGUCAGCGGUAAAAUUGCGGGGCUCAACCUCGCCGAGCCGUUGAAACUGCUCUUCUAGAGUGGGCGAGAGGUAUGCGGAAUGCGUGGUGUAGCGGUGAAAUGCGUAGAUAUCACGCAGAACUCCAGUGGCGAAGGCAGCAUACCGG
rnacentral:rRNA from 1 species